AGACGUGCUCGAUCUACGGUGUGA
rnacentral:siRNA from 1 species